rnacentral:tRNA from 1 species
GUCGUCGUAGUAUAGUGGUGAGUAUCCCCGCUUGUCGCGCGGGAGACUUGGGUUCGAUCCCCGACAAUGGUU